GCAGCAUUACGACUUUGUAGCAUACGCCUACAGCAUGCGGUACGGCUUGAGAGGGCAUCCGUCACAUUGACUAGAACUGGUUCAGACUCUUGCGGAGCAGCAGUGGAAUAUGCGCAUGCCGAAGCCUGACGCAUCGACGCCGCGUGGGAUGACGGCUUUCGGGUGUAAACCUCCUUUACACAACGCAGGCUCGAAGUUCUCUUCGGGUUGACCGGUAGUUGAGAUAAGGACCGGCUAACUACGUGCCAGCAGCCGCGGUAAUACGUAGGGUCCGAGCGUUGUCCGGAAUUAUUGGCGUAAAGAGCUCGUAGGCGGCGUGUCGCGUCUGCUGUGAAAGACCGGGGCUUAACUCCGGUUCUGCAGUGGAUACGGGCAUGCUAGAGGUAGGUAGGGGAGACUGGAAUUCCUGGUGUAGCGGUGAAAUGCGCAGAUAUCAGGAGGAACACCGGUGGCGAAGGCGGGUCUCUGGGCCUUACCUGACGCUGAGGAGCGAAAGCAUGGGGAGCGAACAGGAUUAGAUACCCUGGUAGUCCAUGCCGUAAACGUUGGGCGCUAGGUGUGGGGACUUUCCACGGUUUCCGCGCCGUAGCUAACGCAUUAAGCGCCCCGCCUGGGGAGUACGGCCGCAAGGCUAAAACUCAAAGGAAUUGACGGGGGCCCGCACAAGCGGCGGAGCAUGUUGCUUAAUUCGACGCAACGCGAAGAACCUUACCAAGGUUUGACAUCACCCGUGGACUCGCAGAGAUGUGAGGUCAUUUAGUUGGCGGGUGACAGGUGGUGCAUGGCUGUCGUCAGCUCGUGUCGUGAGAUGUUGGGUUAAGUCCCGCAACGAGCGCAACCCUUGUUCCAUGUUGCCAGCACGUAAUGGUGGGGACUCAUGGGAGACUGCCGGGGUCAACUCGGAGGAAGGUGGGGAUGACGUCAAGUCAUCAUGCCCCUUAUGUCUUGGGCUGCAAACAUGCUACAAUGGCCGGUACAAUGGGCGUGCGAUACCGUAAGGUGGAGCGAAUCCCUAAAAGCCGGUCUCAGUUCGGAUUGGGGUCUGCAACUCGACCCCAUGAAGGUGGAGUCGCUAGUAAUCGCGGAUCAGCAACGCCGCGGUGAAUACGUUCCCGGGCCUUGUACACACCGCCCGUCACGUCAUGAAAGUCGGCAACACCCGAAACUUGCGGCCUAACCCC
rnacentral:rRNA from 1 species